UCAUCCUUAUUGCCGCACCGUAGCUGUGCGGGUGAGGUCCUUGAUAUGGCAGUGAGAGCACGAAAGGCAAUGAAGGAAAGGACUGGUCGCACGAGCAGCUUCUACCGCAGCGCGCUUGGCGUGACUCUUCUCGUAGCCGUUCUUUGUGCUGUUUCGAUGAGCUGGUACAGCUCGCAUACAUUAUCUCAUACGCUGAGCGGCACAUGGAGCGCCGCAGACGGCAAAACUGUCGUCGCUAUGUGCGAUGGUGGUUCUACUUGGAGUGGCACAUGCUCCUUAGAGUCGGAGGACUUCCGUUAUGAAGGCUCAGUGCUAGCCUCCCCACUGAGCGGUGGUGGGUGGGUUGCUGUUCUCCGAUCAAAUUCUGGUAACGCCAUUCUUAUGGGGCACAAGAAAGGGACCCUAACAGUUGUGUUGGAAAACGUUGGCGGUGCUCUUCGCAAAGCCGAGUACGUACGCAGCACUACACAAGCAGAGGAUUUUCUGACUGCCUUGCGGCUGAAAGGCAAGUACAUUGGUGCGCUGUUUGUGAUGGUAGGCACCUACAAAUGGAUACAGGUGUCCUUUUUUUGCACAUCGCUGCGCCGUGCGAGGCGCUUCUGACCUGAUAGCAAGCUGCUGCUUUACACCCCUUUGCAGCGAAACACAAGAAACCAAAGACGCGCAGUCAAGGCAGUAUCCUGUUCGCGGGGAGGGGGGAGGCACCUUUACGAGCGUUUGUGGGGCACUUUUGCACAUCGCGGACGCCACCGGCGGCCCGGCAUUGCAGAAUGCACCAAUGUCGUCGUCCUCGCCCGCAACCUGCAUGCUUGUUUUGAUGUCCCUGUAUCCUUGUGCCUUUUUUCCAUCCACUCUUCGUCGCGUUCUCGAUCACCUUCCCCUAG
rnacentral:misc_RNA from 1 species